rnacentral:tRNA from 1 species
GGAGGAGUGGCCGAGAGGUCGUAAGGCGGCAGUCUCGAAAACUGUUUGGCCACGUUAGUGGUCACGAGGGUUCGAAUCCCUCCUCCUCCGCCA